UACGGAGGGUGCAAGCGUUAUCCGGAUUUACUGGGUUUAAAGGGUGCGUAGGCGGGCCUUUAAGCCAGUGGUGAAAGCUCCGAGCUUAACUCGGAAACUGCCAUUGAUACUAUUGGUCUUGAAUUCGGUCGAGGUUGGCGGAAUGUGUCGUGUAGCGGUGAAAUGCUUAGAUAUGACACAGAACACCGAUUGCGAAGGCAGCUAGCUAGACCGACAUUGACGCUGAGGCACGAAAGCGUGGGGAUCAAACAGG
rnacentral:rRNA from 1 species